UUCGGAGGAUCCAAGCGUUAUCGGGAAUCAUUGGGUUUAAAGGGUCCGUAGGCGGGUCGAUAAGUCAGUGGUGAAAGUCUGCAGCUUAACUGUAGAACUGCCAUUGAUACUGUUGUCCUUGAGUAAUUAUGAAGUGGUUAGAAUAUGUAGUGUAGCGGUGAAAUGCAUAGAUAUUACAUAGAACACCGAUUGCGAAGGCAGAUCACUAACAAUAUACUGACGCUGAUGGACGAAAGCGUAGGUAGCAAACAGG
rnacentral:misc_RNA from 1 species